rnacentral:tmRNA from 1 species
GGGGCUGAUUUAGCUUUAGACAAAAGGAUUUUAACAUAUUAUCUGGCAAGUCGAUUACUUCGUACAGUAUAUUUUAAAUGCAAAAGAAAAUUUUGUAGCAAAAGUAAAGGGUAUGUUUACUCCAGCUUUUGCGCCAAUCGCUGCUUAAUUAUUCAGCGAUCAUCAGAUUAAACUAGGCAACGUAAGUUUAACUGGUGUUAUAUUUUACCGUUGAUCGUUUGUCCGCGGUUUCUAAUUCCGUGGAUAAAUUAAACUUUUAAUUAGGACUCGGGUCUUUUUUUGUUUAUCCUUUUUAUAGACCUUGAGUAAUUUAAGGAUACACUAAGCUUGUAGAUGGAUAAUAAGUUACCUUUUGGACCCGAGGGCAGUUCUCGGCAGCUCCACCA